UCCGGUAUGGUGUAACGGCUAACAUUACCGCCUUUCACCCAUAUUCACAUUUGAAGUGUUCACGCGGUAGCUCGGGGUUCGAUUCCCCGUACCGGAA